rnacentral:lncRNA from 1 species
UGAGUUUAAUUUUAGGAGUCAACUUGUACAUAAAACGCGAUUGUUGUGGCAAGAAAUAUAAAAAAAAAAAACUCGAAACUUGUUCCUGGUGGUGGUGCGACAAAACUGACUGUUCAUCCAUUUAAGGCAUAGAAAAGGUAAUGAAUUUUAAUGUGCUUCUUAAUAUAUUGAAUCACUGUUUAUUGAUCCUCAAAUGAUUUGUUUACUUUUUUUUUUAUACUUGGGAGUAUAUGUAGAUUCGUGAUGAGAAUAUUUUGUUGGUAAUAUGAUAUUGAUAUUUUAUUUAUCGAGAAUGAAAUAGGUGACUACUUUAUGUGUGUUUCAACUAUUAUUUUAUCGAUGGUGUUCCACUUCAACUUGCUUUGAUCUUUGACCUUUGGUUAUACGAAGAAUAAUGACUAGCAUACUUUGUUUGUAAUUUGAUUUUGAUAAUAUAAGCUGUCUCGUAUCGCCUGGAGAACAAAGUCAGGUACUUGAAGGGACAAAUAAAGUCACAUACAUGUAUAUAGUCACAUGUGG